ensembl:lncRNA
GUACAAUUGAAAGUAACUUGCCAGUUUAAUCAAUCCUGUCUCCAUGAUUUGGAAAAACAUGAGGCACUACAUCUCUUUGACCAUGACCGGAACGGGGCUUGAGCCCCCAGGAAGAGAGGUGGAGGUCAAGAAGAGGUCAGCCUGGGUGGAGGAGCAGCUCUGUCACCCCUGGUGUCCUUGGUCAUGUUGCUCAGCCUCUCCCUAGGGUCUUCUUAUCUGCAGCAGAGUCAAUAAUCCCUGCCCCACCUAUCUAUAGGGCUGAAAUGAGGCUGAAGAGAAACAAUAGGUCCUCGCCACUCUCUGCUCCUCUCACUUGAAUAAUUCAGCUGUCCCCCAGGUCUCAGGAGUCAGUCCUUGUUCACAGGAAUUCUUUCCUGAUUGCCACGUCAAGAUUAGGUACGCUUCCUAGGUGAGCACUUGCCACAUGUGGGCCUGUCUGCUGUCAUGCUGCAUCUCCUCCACCCCUACCCAAAUCCCCAGCUUCACAACAUCCUUUGUACGCGUUGAAUUGCGUCCUCUCCCCCACAAAAUUCAUAUGUUGAAGACCUGUCCUUCAUUACCUCAAAAUGUGACCUUGUUUGGAGAUAGAGUCUUACAGAGCUAAUCAAGUUAAAACGAGGUCGUCAGGGUGAGCUCUAAUCCAAUAUAACCAUGUCCUUAUGAAAAGGGGAAAUUGGGAGGCAGACACACACAGGGACAACGCCAUGGCAAGAUGAAGGCAGAGAUUGGGGUGAUGCUUCUCCCAGCCAAGCAACGCCAAAGACGAUCAGCAAAUCACUGGAAGCAGUGGGGGAGGCAUGGAAUGGGUUCUUCCCCACAGCCCUCAGAAGGAACCAACCCUGCUGACAUCUGUGAGACAGUGAACUUCUGCUGUUUAAGCCACCCCGUCUGUGGCACUUUGUUAUGGCAGCCCUGGCAAACUCAUGCAGGUGGCAAUCAGGUUUCUUUUCUGUAUUUUUUGCCGCUGCGACUACAGAGCUUAGCACAGCGCCUCGGACACAUCAUGGGAGCUCAAAACAUAAUGACUGAAAGGACAGUUCAUCCUUGGGGGAACAAACAAGAGAUAUGGUUCCUGCACUUGAAGAUCUCACAAUGUGAUGGAAAACACACAGAAGGAACAAGACAAUUCAAAGUGUGUGCUUAAGGCCGGGGUCAGAGAUGUGGAAGCUCAGCGUCCUGGGCCUGCCGAGCCCCUAAUUCAGAUGGGAGCAGGCGGUGCAGGGCAGCCACCCCGGAAAUCUCCCAAAGCCUCGAUCUUGAAGUACGAUUUAGUCAAGCAGAGAAAGAGAAAUGGACAGAGAGACAGAGAGAACAAAACCCCACGGCAAGAGAAAACAUGGGCUGUUUGUGGACCUUGGUUGCCCUGAACGCUGUGCUCAAGAUGGGAAGGAAAGCAGGCUGACACAACUCAUCUGCAGGACGGGGGAGGAGAGCACCGUGGCACACAGCCUGAGGGCCCGGCUUCUGCUUCCUGCGGCACUGUCCCAGCUGGCCCCGGGCCCCAUGGAAGCCAACUAGAUGGACAUGCUCUCAGCACUGCAGGUGUUUACAGUACCCACUUGCCCCUGCAGACCCCAAAUGCCAGGGGACUCAUCUGCUGAUCGUGGUCGGGGCUGGUGUUGACAUUUGCAUCAGUCAGGCCAGAGCCCACCUCAACGGGUCAUCCUUCUGUCGGCACUUCAGAGGCACUACAGGACAGCUGCAGAGCUGGGGCUCACCACAGAGCAGGGCUGCCACCAGUGUGGGUAGAAGCUCACGACCUGGAAUUUCCCUGCUGUUAUGGAUGGGCCUUGAUGGGCUUUUCUUUGACUUCCUCUUGUAGACCUUUGGACAGCGCUAUUACCGAUGCAAUACAUGCAAUAGCGUCCUGUUCCACUCCAGGAGGGGCUGCGUUUCAGCAAUGGGAGGGGUUUGCCCCAUACCCUGAGGGGCAUUUACUAGGAGCGAAGGCCAGCAGAGCAAGGGCAGCACACCCAGCCAAUCCAUCAGGCCCUGGGAGUCUGCUGUGUGGCAGAGACUGCGGAAGUCUCGCCCCCGCCCGCUUACCAGGACAUUUGGGAGAAUUCAGCAAGCCAUGUAUUCUAAGCCCUGGCAGAUUUAAAGGGGAGAGAGAGAAAGUCGGGGCUCUACAGGUCAAUUUUAUUACUGUUGUCAGGGACAAAUCUGUAGACAGUGUAUGAGAGCAGAGUGUUGAGACAAAGGACUUUCAACGUCAAGGUAAUGAACUUGCAAUGCAAUUUUUUAAAAAACUAUGAAUUGUCAUCAAUAUCCCAAUUGAUAUAUUUCACAUUUAAAAAAUCAAGGUUUCCAUCUUCUCUGGAAACAUACGAAGACGUAGCAACAUUCGGCACAUAUUUCUGCAUGUCAGCAAUCAGCUCGAGCUCAGACACAGCUCUUCCCUCUAAAUGGAGCCAUGUUGUCCAGUUUGCCAGAAUCCUACUGAGUCGCUUUUAAUCAUUUAUAUUACUUGCCUGGCUCUGCAGGCAUUUGAGUUGGGGGGCCUCACGCUUACUCGCUGGGCCCCAGAGGUCCAAUCAAGCAGGGCUUGUAGGGAGAAGCACCUCUCUCUUAUUUACCAACCUGGCCCAAGGGCGGACACGUGACUCUUUCUCCCUAUUGCCUCAUCAAACCUACCUCCCCAGUCUACACAGAUAAUACAACAUGGAACCAGUUCACUGAAGCAUUACUAAUGGUAUGGGAUAGCAACUCUCUGUGGACACAGAGAAUUCUGAACAUCUUGACUUCGAAAAUACAGCAUUCUAAUCUUCAGUGUAGGGUUUGUGAACUGCCUCCCGGAUCCUGGGGUUGGACUUAACUCCUAGCACCUAAAUCCUUUAAAGCAUUUCUCAGUUCCUCAAAUUUCAGACCCGAGAAGUGAGGCUCAGAAAAUCCUCAGGAUUCCUUCUCUUGUUUGCCAGAGCCCCACCUUCUGAAUUCCGGUUUCCCGUCUGAGGACCUGCCAUUUCACAAUAAUUCACAAUGGGAAAGCCCCUCCAUGUCAAAGAAGACCGAGCGUGCCCAGAUGGACUGCGACAUUAAUAUUCAGCUUACAACAAGAUAAUCACCUCCCAUGACAGACCCCAGCUGUUUAUGCAAGAGACACGUGGGCAUCAUGUUCGACCCUUGCUGUUCCAUUAUAAGCAUCAAUUCUGCCCACACUGAGUGGGGAUCUAAACUUUCAUGUGAAUGGAAGACUCACUCAGCUAUCAGCUUCUUAGGCCUGCAGAACUUUCUUCAACUAAUUCAGCUAAGCGUUGCAAAGCCUUGUGCCCUCCUCCUUUGCAAAGCCCUACUCCCCAGUGUAAGAUAAACUGGACUCGUCUGAGUAGAAGGAAAGAGAGGGGAUUUAUGGGGUGAAGAUUUGAUUUCAAGCUUCUCUACAAUUUAAAUGCUCUGCAGCUCCCUUUCCUCACCUGUCUGCUCCACCCUGCCCAUGUGAGGAUCAAAUGACAUAAGAGAGUGAAAAACUCUGUUAUGAAUUCUCGCAUAAAGUUAGUAAUUAACUAGUACCGAGACUGCACGGAAGUUUCUGUGAGAUGGCUUACAGCGAUUAUGUACACGCCAAGCGGGCAAAUACGUCCUCCUGGGACAUUCAUUCUGUACCUCUGCAGCACGGCUAUUGUCUGACUCAUGUCUGCAGGAUUAGAAGGCCGGUUUCUCAGGAUGCCGGGAAAAUCAGGCCGGUUGGCAAAUCAAUAAUAUCUGGUGAGAGGCCUUAUAGAGAAUCAUGAAUGAAAAUGGCAAAAAUUAAUCAAUUUUUAUUUCAUUAUCAAGUGCUUAAUACUUAUGAUAUAACAAAUAUUAAGGAUAAUUUUAAUUACUUUGAACGUCAUCAUUAGUUAUUUAAUAAUUGAUUAUAAUAUGCUUAUUCAAUUAAUAAUUAUAAUUAUUGAAUAAUUAAUAAUUUAUUCUGUCAUGUCUGUUAAUUAGUUAAUGCACGAAUGAUUAAGUAGGUUGUGGGAGGCUGUUGCAAAAGGUGAGACAAAUUCAGAGGGAGAAGGCAGAAAAGAUAUCUGUUCAUGUCAUUGGGCCUCCAGAGAACCACAAGAAUACAUACCUUGGAACCGGAAAUGAGUACACAUGCUCUUCUAGAAUAUGUUCUCUGCACAGGUGUUUUAAGUUUCAAAUAUUUUUACCUGAUUUUUAAAGAAUAAAUCAUCAUUGGUAUAGAUUUUUUGUAUUAAAAAAAAUUCAUGGCCCCAAAUUGCAAUCUGCUGUGAAAAUUUGAUCAGGAGAAAGGUUUCUCAUCACACAAAAUUUGGGACAUGGAGAACGUGUUUUCCCCAGGGUCCAGGGGAAAGUUGAAGCCCUGGGCAGAAGGGAAAUUAACUUGAUCUGGAAAUUCAGGAUUGAGAAUGAUUUUCGUUAGGUUCUGAGCCAAUCAAAGGAAUGCUAUUUGUGUGCCUUUAGCUAACAACCUCACCUGAUACCCGCCUACCACGUCUUGUUCAACAGAAAGGAAUAUCUAUUUAUCAUCCAUUGAGAAAAUGCCCUUUUUGCUCUCAGUGACAAUUUUCUCAAAUAAAAAGCCAGAUUGAGGAAGGAAUGCAUAAACUAAAUGGAAUAUUACUUGGCCAUAAAAAGGAAUGAAGUUCUGACACAUGCUACAGCAUGGAGGAAACUCGAAAACAGCAUGUUAAGGGAAAGAAGCCAGUCAUGAAAAGACAAAAAUUAUAUGAUUCCACUUGCAUGAGCUGGACACCCUCUCCCGGCCAUGCCUGCCAACCUCACAACUCUGCUUCCAGUCUCAGCUCCACCAAGAAAAGCUUCGGAACCACAGAAACGCGUUCUGGGGAAUGAGUUUGUUUAAAGCCUUCGCUGUUGGUUUUAGUCAAAAUUUUUAAAAUAUCUUAAAAGCACGAUUGAUAUAUAAACUAAAAUAGAACUGCAACUUCAGAGAAAAUAAAAAUAGACUUAUCGUAGACUAGCAAUUAAUACCAUGAUAAAUCUAUUUUCAUAUUUCUUUUCUCUUAUUUCAGAAAGUAAGA